ACUCAAAAAAUACCUUCUGAAUAGACAAGCAUCAAAGUGCAAGGCAGGAGUGAAGUUGGAAUGGAAGAGCAAGGAAAUCUAGGAAAAGAGGUAUGGAGGGAAGAAGGACUCCAGAGUGUUUACUGUCAAUACAGAGUAUUGAAAAGAAAAGAAGUCCAGAGAGGAGGUGUCUGCAGCUAGCCUGUGUGUCUUGGACUCAAAGAGUGUCAGGCAGGCUUCAAAGGCCAGAGGCAAGGCAGAUAAAACAGAUUUUUAAAAAUUGAAGUGAAAAGAAACAGAUUUUAUUUUGAGAAUUUAUACACUGAGAGUAGGCAGCACUGAUGUAAAGUGAAAAAGGAUUUUUUUAAUGUCAUGCCUUCAUUUGUACACCACCUACAGCUUCAAAAUCCUUUUAUAUGUAUCCAUCUAAUCCUUGAGGUGGGUAUGAGCCUCUUUUGGCGGUCGGCAAGGAUGGGAAAGAUGACAUGAUUUCACGACUCAUAAAGAAAGUGAUGGAGCUGUAGCUUGAAUUCUUUUACUUCAAAUCCACAAUGCCAUGCCUUGCUCCAGUGAAGGACGGACUGCUGUUCUGUCUCCUAAAACCCACACAGCUCGCCUGGAGCUUCAAAUGUGAGAACACAUUCCAGCUGCAGGAUCAGAGGACUUUUCCUACAGCCCAUAAGUGCCUGCAGCUCUAUCGGAUUUGCAAAUCUACAAAAGAGAGCACAUCCUAUUGUUCCCGGUUUUGAGUUUUUUUAAUAGUAUGUCUUGUAAAAUGCUGGUUGCUGGUGGACAGGGGUGUUUUACAGAUAGGUGUGACUCAGGAGGGGAAAUGGGUGGGCAGAGACAGCCACAAGGAAUUCCACACAUGAAGGAAAUGCUCCCACUUGUGUUUUCUAUUUGUGUUUUAAAUUUGGGGAGCGACUCACAGGCACUCAGCAAAAGUAACUAAUUAUAUUAACCUUAUCAGUAGUGAGGUUUCCUGGUCUCUCAUCAGACACUCAGCUCACUGGCUGGUAUUUAAUUGGGAGCCUGGUGGCCAGUGAAAACAGUGUGGGAUGAGUCACACUUUAACAAGUUUUUAUAGUACAGCAACCUUGCUGUAUAAUAGCCAGACAUUAUUAAAAUUCAGAUAUGGUACACUGACUUGUUUGUUUUCCUUAUUCACAUGAAACAGAUGCUCAGGACUCAUUUUACUUACACACAGUAAAUGAGGGUCAGCUGUGUUGAGGGAAGUGAGUACUUUGUUCUGGAAGGAUAGAUGUUGUAGCAAUUGUCUUGCUCUGAUUGUAUUUGAAAAGAAUGAAUGUUGUUAGUACAAUUUGGUAUUCUUCCAAUGCCUAGUUGGAGUUCAAGGGAUAUAAAACUGGGCGCUUGAGGAGUGGGAUGGAAAAGGAUGGAGAAGGAAGGUCAAAUAUGGCUUUGAAGGGGAUCAGCAGAAGCCAGAGGCCGCAGUGGUGAACACUCCUUGUGAAUGGCCCUUUGCACCCACGGCUUGGUGAACCCAGCAUGGACCGUGGAGAGAGGACCUGCCUAAAAACCAGAGACGGGGUUUGCCUCUCCGCAUCACCACUGGCUUGCUGCAUCAAGAAUCUGCCUUUCAGCUUCUUCACCUGAAACAAGAGCACUGGAAUCACCCAUGAGUCCAAGACGGAAGGCUGAUGAAGAGAAGGAACAGGGAGAGGGAAUUAACUUUCCUGAGCUCAGUAAGUGCUUUGAUCACAUGACUUUAAAAACUGCUUCUUGCAUCAUGGCACUCUACUGUGGUAUUAUCUCUAAUUCUCAUGGACCCUAAACAAUAGACAUUUUCUAUUCCAUUUUACAGGUGAGCAAUUCAGGGCUCAGUGAAGUGAAGUGACUUGCUUAAGUCAUCCAGCAAGAAUGAUAGGAGCUGGAAUUUGAGUUCAGCACUGUCAGUCAAUGCUCAUUUUACUUAUUCUACUCUAGCCAAGGAAAUCUCAGUGUAUUGCUUGUUUUAUUUUUGGCAACGAAUGGAUUGUGUCUGAGGGUUUACUGCUCACAACUGUUGUAUGAGUAUUUUUUGGUUAUUCGCUUUUUAUAUGUCAGGAAACUGAGUCUGAAUAAGAUUGGAUGAUAUAUCUGAAGCCAUAAUGCUAGCAGUGGCAGAUGUAGGAUUAGUUGAUCUGUUUGUCUAACUCCUGUUCUUUCCACUCUACCAUGCUGUUGAAGUGGAUAAAAUUAGACCCUGAGAAGUGGAGUCUAAUUCUCCUCCUCUAUGAAUCUGGCCUUGCUUUAGUGACUUGCUUGACUAAUAGUAUAUGGUGGAAGUGAUGUCCAGAGAUUCCUGAAGCUGGACCAUGAGAAGGCUUGCGUCUUCUGUAUGGGCACCUUGGAACACUGCCUCUGGAGCUCUGAGUUACCAUGCAAGAACCUGGACAACCCUGAUACCACCAUGUUGGAAAGGCUGCAUGUGGUCAUUCUGGUCAACAGUCCCAACUGAUCCCAGCUUCCUAGUCGCCCUGAAAAGUCACCAAACAUGUGAGUGGAGCUGUCUCGGAGCUUCCGGCAAACUCAGAUGCUAAUGAAUAGGGUGCCUGACCUCUGUCAAUGCUGCUGGAAUAGAAACAUCAUGCAGCUGAGCUUUGCCUGAAUUCCUGAACCAAAAAAUCAUGAGAGGUAAUAAAAUAAUUGCUGUUUCAAGCCAUUGCAUUUUUAAAGACUUAUUGAGGUAUACUUAGUAUAAUAACUGCACAUACUUAAAGUGUAUGAUUUGACAAGAUUUGGCAUAUAUAUAUAUAACUAUGAAACCAUCACUAUGAUCAAGAGAGCAAGCAUAUUUAUCAGCCCCAAAUUUCCUCACACUGCUUCAAAAUUCCACCUCCUGCUCCUCUUCUCCCACCAAGGCAAUCAAUCAUCUGCUUUCUGUCACUAGAGAUUAGUUUGCAUUUUCUGAAGUUUUAUAUAAAUGGACAUAAAGAACAAAUGCACUGUUUUUAUGUCUGGCUUUUUUGCCUCGAUGUAUUUAUUUGAGAUUCAUUCACAUUGUAAGCUGUAUCAGUAGUUUAUUGCUUCUUAUUAUUGAGUUGUUUUUCAUUGUGCAGGUAUAUCGCAGUUUGUUUAUCCAUUUGCCUGUUGAUGGACAUUUAGGUUGUUUCCCUUUUUUGGCUAUUACAGAUAAAGGUGCUAUGGUCAUUUCUGUUCUAGUUUUUGUAUGGACAUGUGUUUUCCUGUCUCUUGGGUAAAUACCUGUAGUG
rnacentral:lncRNA from 1 species